rnacentral:lncRNA from 1 species
GGUUUUUAAUCUUUAUUGUGUCUAGUAUGAUUUAAAAUUUUCAAUUUUACGUAAUCUGGUCAAUUACAGCAAGAAAUUUGAUAUGAACAGUGAGAUGUCUGCGGAACCAAAUCCCGCUUGUUUUUUUUUUUUUUUCCGCCUUUUGAUUUUGUUUUCAUGAUAUAUUAGAAAUAAUGUGUUAAAAAUUUAGGUUUUUGAUUCCUUAUAUUGUUGUUUAUCAGAAAAUAUACUCAAUUGGAUGUAAUUUAUUCACUUAGAGGUGAAUUUUUGAGUUAAAAUCGCUUAUGUAAAACGACUCUGUGAAGAACAAAUUUUU